AACGAACGCUGGCGGCAUGCCUAACACAUGCAAGUCGAACGCUCGUAGCAAUACGAGAGUGGCGGACGGGUGAGAAACGCGUGGGUACCUGCCCUGUAGUACGGAAUAACCGCGGGAAACUGCGGCUAAUACCGUAUACGCCCCAAGGGGGAAAGAUUUAUCGCUACAGGAGGGGCCCGCGUCGGAUUAGCUAGUUGGGGAGGUAACGGCCCACCAAGGCGAUGAUCCGUAGCUGGUCUGAGAGGACGACCAGCCACACUGGGACUGAGACACGGCCCAGACUCCUACGGGAGGCAGCAGUGGGGAAUAUUGGACAAUGGGGGAAACCUUGAUCCAGCAAUGCCGCGUGAGUGAAGAAGGCCUUAGGGUUGUAAAGCUCUUUCAGCGGGGAAGAUGAUGACGGUACCCGCAGAAGAAGCCCCGGCUAACUCCGUGCCAGCAGCCGCCGUAAUAC
rnacentral:rRNA from 1 species